UACAGAGGUGGCAAGCGUUGUUCGGAAUUACUGGGCGUAAAGGGCGCGUAGGCGGCCUUCUAAGUCAGACGUGAAAUCCCCAGGCUCAACCUGGGAACUGCGUGUGAUACUGGAUGGCUUGAAUUCGGGAGAGGGAUGCAGAAUUCCAGGUGUAGCGGUGAAAUGCGUAGAUAUCUGGAGGAAUACCGGUGGCGAAGGCGGCAUCCUGGACCGACAUUGACGCUGAUGAGCGAAAGCUAGGGGAGCAAACGGG
rnacentral:rRNA from 1 species